CAAUAGCGUAUAUUAAAGUUGUUGCAGUUAAAAAGCUCGUAGUUGAAUUUUUGCUUGCCGCCGAUGUCGGAACUUCCGUACGUUCGGCGGCGUGCAUACUUGGGUGGAACCUGUGUGGCAUUAGGUUGUCGUGCAGGGGAUGCUCAUCGUUUACUGUGAAAAAAUUAGAGUGUUCAAAGCAGGCUUACGCCGUUGAAUAUAUUAGCAUGGAAUAAUAAGAUAGGACCUUGGUACUAUUUUGUUGGUUUGCGCACCGAGGUAAUGAUUAACAGGGACAGUUGGGGGUAUUCGUAUUCCAUUGUCAGAGGUGAAAUUCUUGGAUUUCUGGAAGACGAACUACUGCGAAAGCAUUUACCAAGGAUGUUUUCAUUAA
rnacentral:rRNA from 1 species